rnacentral:lncRNA from 1 species
AGGCCAUAGGAUUGCCUAACGUUGAAAAGGUAACGGACAGAGAUACUUCUCACCAAAAAGAGGGGAAUUUGGUCCCGGGUGACUAAACUCCUAGCGCCUUGAGAUUCGUGCCGCAAGUCUGGACUGAAGUCACAGUUUGGAUUGAACAAAGUAAAGGUUCAUUGGUAACUAACUAGAGGUCUGGUUGGAUGCAAAUAGCGAGUGCUGGUGAUUCUAGGUAAAGAAUUGGAACAUUACAAGUAUAUAUAGAGGUAAGAAUGAAGCCUUCUUCACUCUUGUCAAUUCCUUUCUUGCUUCUAAUUUAGAUUGAAGAGUCUCUAAUUUCUUUGUCUUUUAGCAAUAGCUAUUCCAAUUUCUUUUUUAUAUACAUAAUUCUUUAUUUUUAUUUUAUUUCUU